CCCCGGCUCCCUGUGGAUUUCCUCCUUGGUAGGGUCCAGGAGGUGGUACCAGGUACUGUACAUGACUGGGUGGUGGAACACCAAGCCCGACUUCAGGUUGCUUUUGAGGGGGCUCGUGACCGGUUAAGGCAGGCUGCAGACCGCCGUAAGGCCAAUUAUGAUCAAGGUGUUCAUGAUGUCCCGUUAAAGGAAGGCCAGCUGGUGUACCUUCGAGAUUAUGCUAAGAGGGGUCGUCAGAAAAUUCAGGAUUUGUGGAGCUCUGUUGUAUAUCGGGUAGUGAAAACACCCAAGGCGAGCGGCGCUGUCUAUUCAGUAGCACCACUGGGUGAGCCAGACAGGGUUAAACAUGUUCACCGGUCCUCAUUAAAGGCAUGUGUUCAGAGGGAGUCACUGGUAUUUGAGGGUAAUCAGACCCAUCAAGGUUCUGAAGUUAACCCUCCACUGGAACAAGCGAGUGUGCAGGAGGACGAGUCUGAACCAGAAUGGUUGUUGGUUAUUCCAGGGGGAAACCAGGUACCAGGAGUAUCACAUUCUGCUGAACUAGCUUGUGUAGAACCAUCUUCCACAGGUUCGUUAGCGCCUUCAGGAGUUGUGCCAACAUCUUCUGUUGCGCCUGAUUUAGGGGUAAGAGAAGCCAGUGAGUUAUCUGCAGACUUGUUGGUAAGCGUUCCGUCUGUUAGGGAUGAGAAUGAGGGUCGACGGCCGCGACGAACCACCGCUGGCCACCACUCUAAUGUUUACCGCCUUCCUCAGCCUGUAGGUAGGGUAGUGUCGGAGGCCCAUACAGCUUCUACUGUAGCCUCAGCAAUUUUUAGGCCAUGGGAUUAAGUUGAUCGUCGGGGCGACGAUGCAAGACCUUGGGGGUGGACUGUGGCAUGUAGAGAUCGGGAGGUAAUUAUUGAGUAUUAGUUUAUUCAUUGGUUGGGGCCGAUAGAGGGGGUUGGAUUACGCAUAUAUAAACAGCAUACGUGUGUGUGACCCAGACGAGCGUCACUUCCCGGUAUCCCGUUUCGCUUCCGGCGUAUGGACUGAGGGCUGUUGUUAUCUUGGCUGUGCAGGACGAUUGCUGCAACUGUAAACAUCUCCGUGGCUGCAGAUAUUGUGGCUUUGACUUGUCGGCGGCGUGUUUCAUCUGUUUAUGCGAUCACAUUCAGUCAAUACGAUGCUGCGUAUGGGCGGAUGACGACUGUAUAUGCCAAGUUAUUCUCCUUGUGUAUCCUGAGCUCCACCAGCUGAGUGAUUAAACUGAAACUAAAACUUUGCAUUGCCACUAUGGAGUAUUAUCUUCACCUCCACUGAUUCCCGGGUCCCUGUGCCUGUUAUUCGGUAUGUCUCACUCAUGUGGGUUUAUUACAGAAAUGUAUUGUGACGACUGAUUAACAUGAUUAGUUUUCCCCCAUUUUAUAGAGUGAUAGGGGUAUGCAGUGACGUCACCGCUGUCUUGUUCCGGGUUGAAUAUUCGCGUUCGUGAACGUGAAUCCUAUUUUGAUACGUUUGUGAAUCCGCUAAUGCGGUGGGAGUGCUUUUGCACUUAUAUGGUCCAGUUAUGUUUUCAGUGAUUUACUUGUUGAUUUGGGUUAAUUUUUGUAUUAUUGCCAGCGUACUGGCGUGAACAUAUGUUUUCUUUCUGUUUGUUUCAGUGACAAUUGGUUUUGUUUCUUUAUUCUUUAAUUCAAUUUAAUUUGGUUAAUUUUGUUAUUGUGUGUUGGACAGGCAUUAAGUGUCAGCUGUGUUGCCUGCCUGAAUUUUGUAAAUCAUUUUUGUUUCUGUUUGAGUGUGUGUUUGUGUGUGUGCUGUGUUAUUUUGUUUUACAGGAGCUGCAGACCUUUGAUGAAGAGCAGGGCUAAAUAAAGUCUUUCUUUAGGUGGUGAUGGUGUUUCCUCACGGAGUGCUGUGAUUUGCCGUGUGCACUGGGGCUUUUGGAGUGGUGUGAGUUUGCAGUAUGCUAGUUUGGUGAAAGUUCACACUGAGUGCUUCAAAUCAUUCAGAAGAGAUGCUUUUAGGGCAGUUUAUUAAAGAAGACCUGACAUGGAUGACUUCCAAUGAGAAACGACUGCUUACUUAUAUAAAUUCAUUACAGAAGGACCCUACCAGACUAUAUUUGUAUACGGCAUACCCAUGAAUUCUGGAACUGUUAUUCCUUAACCCAGUUUGGAGGAUAAGAGCUUACCAACUAGUUAUAAAUAUGCUGAGGUGAUGUAUUGCAAAAUAGCCAACAUACAACAAUAUGGAUGACCCUCUGUCUGGUCAACAGGAGUUUAAAUAUGGACGGGACAGUUAUGUGGCAGCUCUUCCCUGGCUCAUUCACCACUUGCCUUUCAUUUGUGAAAGGAAGAAAGACUGGAGAGGGUCAAUGUGCAACUGAAGCUACUGAUUGUGCUAUGUGAUGAGCAUCAAUCCAUGCUUUGAGGUGGAAGAAUCAGCACAGCCCUGCCUGCACUGCGUUGGGAACAGAAGUUGCAUCCAGAAUUUUUGCAUCAUUCUGGACCAAAAAGCCAUUCCCUCCAUGAUGAAGACCACUGAUGCAGCCUUCCACUACAUCAUGAGUAAAACAACUACAGAACUAAAUACCAGGUUGGAACGUAUUUAAGAAAAAUGAAACGUCUUUUGAAUUGUUUUGUUAUGGAAAAAUCUUUAGUAUUGUGAAGGAUAAGCAUUUCUGCCUGCCAGUAAGGUAAUUGCAGUGUAUUUUAAUGUUCAAGUUUUGAGUAGGGUGGCAAAUUUUUUUUAAACUCUCAUUUGAUAUAUUAAAGACCUUAUAAUAAGUGGUUUUUAUGUCACUGCGCUGUGGUAUAAGAUAACUUUCAUUAUUCCAUACUGUAUUCUGUAUUCUAAUUGUAGCUGAGGUAUUUAAAUAAGCAGUGUUAAAUGCAAAGUGUUGUGUGUAUCAAUGUAAAUAUUAAAUGUGAUGUACUUUAAUAAAAAGAGGU